rnacentral:rRNA from 1 species
UACGGAGGGUGCAAGCGUUAAUCGGAAUUACUGGGCGUAAAGGGUGCGUAGGUGGUUUGAUAAGUUAACUGUGAAAGCCCUGGGCUCAACCUGGGAAGGCCAGUUAAGACUGUUGGGCUAGAGUAUGGGAGAGGGUAGUGGAAUUUCCGGUGUAGCGGUGAAAUGCGUAGAGAUCGGAAGGAACACCAGUGGCGAAGGCGGCUACCUGGCUUAAUACUGACACUGAAGCACGAAAGCGUGGGGAGCAAACAGG